AUGGACUUCACGGUGGGCCCUGGCUCUCCCUGCAUGGGGCAAACUGGAGGCCCAGACCCACGCACGGCAGGGGAGCGUGGCCCUGGCCCCACGCGCCGUUCCCUGGUUAGCCCAUCAUCGACUCUUGAGGCAGGGAAAGAGGCACUGCUUCUUUCUGAACCAGAUUUGCAGGUCGCAGUGCCAGCUGUGAUGAGCAGAUACGCUGCUAUUGUCUGCCAUAAAUCAUUGCCUGGGGGUGUACAUGUGAUGGGAAGAUAUUUGACUGCAUCUCUUUCCCCUCUGAUUAUAGCAGCGAACCAGGCAAAUAGAAGGAAUACAAAUAAAGGAAGUAAUCGAAGCCCAGACCCUCCAAGGCAUUUAAGCAGCUUUUCCAAACCUUUGAGGAUCUCAGCACUUCAGCAAAGGAAGGUGAGGAAUCAUGAUUGUAGAUACAUCUAAGGACUGUGGUCCCUUGUUGAUGCCUUCUCCUUCAUCCCUGCAGGCAGUAGAUUGCCACUGCUUGAUGGUUGGUGUCCCAGCCGUGUUUGUGACCCACUGGAGGUGUCUGCCAGGUAUCUUUGGAUAUAGGAUGUGUUCAAGAAGGGCAUGCUUUGUCUGCAAGAAAAUACCAAAGUUACAAUAGAGCGGAUCGCUGAGCUGUUGCAGUUGGUGUUGGCAUUGAGUAG
rnacentral:lncRNA from 1 species